AAAAGGAUUCCAGACAAAAGUAAAGAUUCACUGGAAGGAUUGUUUUCUUUUUUUCUCACUUUUCAGUGUGAUGUCUUCUAACACCCCACAGAAAUAAAGGGCAGAAGGUGUCUCCCUCACUGGAAGUUGUUGUACAUCAAAAAAUGCUUCUUUGGGAGAGUCAGAGUUUACAGACUGUUUGGGUCUGUUCAGAUAAGAAAGAAGAAGGAAUGAAACAAUCCACUUGGAAGGGAAGCUCUUUCAUUUCUGCCUGGUUAGCAGUUUAGUAAAAGUUUAGCUAAAAUAUUUAUUCACCAGUGUUAAACUCUGACCCUGAAAGGUGAGGAAGUGAAGGAAAUGGAAGAGUGAAAUUUGGGGAGUCUGAGGCAAAAAWGCCAAGGGAACCACGGGGCAGCCUGUCUGGUUUGGAGAUUGAAAUGCAAGUGGAGUCCUCAAAUUUAUUACCUUGGAACCCACUCACUUAUGGAUGUGGACUCCCUUAAGCAUAAGUCUUACAUUAUGUCACYGAGAUGGCAUUUGGGGCUGAUUUAUGUUGGCACAGAAGUGGCCAUAAAGUGCACACGUGUGCCCAGAGUAGCCCCUUUUCAAACAGAGCAUGUUUAUAGAAACAGGAAACACGGCUGGAGCAGGAGCACCCCGAGCCACUGCUGUGUCAACAGCAUCACAAAUACAGGUAUCCAGGAUCUGCACCCUCAUGCAUUUUCCAUGGAUUCCCACUCUAGUCCAUAACCUGGAACACAGUUACCAGAGAUUAGUGGUUGGUGAUGGAGGAAAAAUGACUUAUUAGGUGAAAUUUGCUCCACUAAAGAUGCGUAUCUGACCAAGAGCCACAAUCCACUUUUUAAUCCUUUUCUUUCUUUCUCUGUCUAAUCCAUGGCUGAUAUUUCAUGGUGAUAAUCCCUCUYUUUUUUCCCUCCUUGGAGAAUGAGGACACACUAUAUUAAUUAUAUCUGAUUCUGUAGUCACUUAAUUUAUCUUUAAUGGAGUAUUUUCAGUGAUUUCUGUCUGCAUAAAUCUGAAACCUUCAGGUCAUAUUCAGGGAAGUGUAAAAUCUUCACAGUUCUUUAUAAAGUACAUUAGAAACAGAAAAUAUACAAGCUCUAUUUGAGAUUUCUUUUAGGAGACAGAAAAGCAGACAUAAAUGAAGAUGAAAAAUUGCAGAGCAUUUUUGGUGACCGAAAAAACUCUACUCUCUGAUUCCUCAGAUGAAUUUAUUUGCAUGUUCAGUCUUCAACCUGUUCUGAAUUGUGAGGUGCUAUAAAUAUAUCCAAAUAACCAUCUCCAYGAUCUGCUUGGAUCUGCUGUGCCUGCAGUGAACUCAGAGGGGUUUCAUGCUCCCAGRGUGCAGUGUUUUGCACACAAAACAACCUCCUCUAAGUUUCUAAGGAGAACCAGUGAUUAAGGAGCAAUUAUUUUUCUCAUGUUGAUAUACAGCCCUCCCUUUCUCUUYCUCAGUCUGAAGAAUCCUUAUGUUGGUAUUGAAACAAUUCAGGGUUUUUUUAGGGCACAUCUGAUACUGAAAGUUGGAAGAAAUAAGAUCUUCACAUUGUCUCAGAGAGGAAAUGCAUGCGCAUCCUAAAGCCCAAAAUGCUGAUUGUCAAUGGAGAUUAACUUGAAAUAGGAACUCAUKAGUCUUUUCCAUGGAUAUUCCCUACUCUUGCUCUUUCAGAGCUGACAGGAGGUGUAAGCAUUGCUCACAGGAGCACAUCUGUAGCACAGUGAGAGACAGCAUCAACCAGGUAACUCAGAGAAUCUGGACCAUGCUCAGAUUUUUCUGAGAAGCAGCAGUAACUGUGUUGCAGUCCUUGCUCAGUGGAUUUGGGUAACCUGAGCCUAACUGAGUAGGCCAUAGGAGUAGGACUGGUGUGUUACUCACUGAGGACUUACAUUCCCUUUGGGGAUGACAUGSAAAAGUAUUUCUAUCAGGGAAAUACAGUUCCUUCAUCCAGUGUCUUAGGACUUGCUUKUUUACUGAUUGCAAGUCAGAUAAGUUUGUCAAAACAUUUGUAACCUGCAGAAUGAAAAACGGAACCAAACAACCUGCCCCAAACAACCUGCCCUUGGUGUUUCAUUGCAGGAAAUAUUUCUGUGUGACUGCUGUGUUUAGCACUUGAAUAUCCUGGCAGGCUCCCUGCUAUUAAGGAGCACAGAUAGGAGCUGUAAUGCUUUGUUGGGUUUUGACUGGAACAAU